rnacentral:tRNA from 1 species
GGCGGUGUGAUCUAGUCUGGUCAGGAUACGAGAAUUUCAAUCUCGUCGCGUCGGUUCAAAUCCGGUCACCGUCACCU